rnacentral:SRP_RNA from 1 species
GGGUAAGUCUUGCACGACCAGCUCCCACUUAACUCCCCCAGGGCCGGAAGGCAGCAAGGGCUAGUGGUUGUAGCGGUGCGAUGUAAGUAGCUUGCCCCUU